AGUGACUAUACUUUCAGGGAUCAUUUCUAUAGUUCGUUACUAGAGAAGUUUCUCUGACUGUGUAGAGCCCACGAAACCACGAGGACGAGACAUAGCGUCCCCUCCUGAGCGUGAAGCCGGCUCUAGGUGCUGCUUCUGCCUCUUGCCAUUGGCAGCUGAUGAUCGUCUUCUCUCCUUCGGGGGGGUAAGAGGGAGGGAACGCAGUCUGAGUGG
rnacentral:snoRNA from 1 species